rnacentral:rRNA from 1 species
GAUCAUGGCUCAGAUUGAACGCUGGCGGCAUGCUUUACACAUGCAAGUCGAACGGCAGCGCGGGGCAACCUGGCGGCGAGUGGCGAACGGGUGAGUAAUAUAUCGGAACGUACCCAAGAGUGGGGGAUAACGUAGCGAAAGUUACGCUAAUACCGCAUACGAUCUAAGGAUGAAAGCGGGGGAUCGCAAGACCUCGUGCUCCUGGAGCGGCCGAUAUCUGAUUAGCUAGUUGGUG